UGAGUGUGUGGUAGACAGUCUACAACAGCUGUCUGAAGUUAUCAGCACUUAUCUCUCAUAGAGUAUUGUCCCUCCACUAUUGGAUGAUGUAGCUGUGGUUGAAUGAAGUGGGAGUGUGGGGCGACCCCGGCUAAACAUAGAAAGUCAAACCCUCCUGAAUCUACUCAGCACUGGGUUACCACUGACUUCUUUGAGUGACCUCCAUGGGAUUUCAAGGUCAACUCUGUAUAGACCGAUGCAAGAGCAUAACCUCUCCGUCAGAAAAUGCUAUUCUGACAUAUCAGAUGAUGUGCUAGAUCAGAAAGUUAGGUCUAUAAAGGCAAGAAUGCCCCAUGCUGGCUACAGGCUAGUGAAAGGAUAGCUACAAGCAAUGGGGCAUCGGAUUUCGUGGAGAAGAGUAAAGAUGUCAUUGCAGCGUGUGGAUGGUGCAGGAAUAAUUGCCAGGAUGGUCCAGCUGUCUUGCAUUGCAAGACGGACGUACUCUGUUCCCGCUCCCUUGUCUCUUGUCCACAUCGACACAAACCACAAGUUGAUAAGGUGUUAUUUCUCCUAGUGAACUAUUUCUAAUCAUUGGUGAUUUUAUGUCACCCAAUCGUAAUAUCAGUGCUGCAUAACAAUUACCUUUUUGUUAGGUACAACUUUGUGAUUUUUGGAGCAAUUGAUGGCUUUUCAAGGAAGAUCUUUUACCUGGACACAGCUGGGAAUAACAAAGCAGAGACGGCUUUUGGAUUCUUCAUGGAAGGAGUUCGGAAAAAUGGAUGGCCAUCAAGGCAAGCGCAUUAAAUUAGUGUUCAGAAGAAAGAUGACGAUAAAAUGUCCACACACAGAAUUUUAGAAAUAAUAUGCAAUGAGUUAUUUAAAAACAAACAAAAUACCAAUCCAUGUUCCCAACAGCUGGGGUCACUGGUAGUGAAUGUUUGAUCACUUCUCUGCUUCAAUUCAAUGACAUUUUGGGGCUUACCUGCACUCAUUUACAGUUAAUUCAGUGGCAUAGAAGAGACCUGUUGUAAUAUUAAAGAAAUAAGGGGAAAUUAUGCUUGUUUCUAACACAGUAAAAUAUAUUAUUUUGUACCUUGUCUUUCUCUUUCAGAGUACGAACCGAUCAAGGGGUUGAAAAUGUAGACAUCGCUAGAUGCAUGUUUACUGUGCGAGGAACAGCCCAUGGCAGCUUUAUUGCUGGAAAAAGCGUCCAUAACCAGAGUUAAUUGAAUACCAGUACAAAUAACCCAACCCCUCGGGUAAAAAGUAUGCAUGUUAAUAUUAAAUCCCAUCAGUUUCAAAA